GAUGGAAUACCUCUACUUACUGCUCGUCUCUCAGCCCAUCCCUGGCCAAUCCACCUCCAGCAGCCCACCAAGACCCUCCUGGAUCUGCACUAUCUCCAUGCUCAGCUCCCUCUACCUCCAACCCUGGAUAUCUACUCGCAGUAAGCUUCUUCGACCCAGACCGGACCACCUUCCCUCUCUUGAGCCAUUACGCCUCCCUGAUCCCUGUCGGACGAACUCAGCUACUUUUCUGCUGCUCCUUUAGUUUCUCCUUUAAUAAGUUAUUGUUUGAACGUUCACCCUUGUCUGUGAACUGAUUCUGUAUGUCGUGGGUUAGACACCUACCUCACAACAGGACAGUGUGGUGGGUGUGAGGUGUCGGUGGUGCAGGGGUGACCAUGAGGGCGAACUUUGUGAUCUUCCACUUCGAUGUUGUAACUGUGGUGGAGACCAUCAAGCAGCUGAUCGGAGUUGUGUGGCGGUUAGGGGAGGUGGUGCCUUGUAAUGUGCCUCUGUCGGCUGGAGGUGCAGAUGAGGGGGCUGGGGUGGUGGUUGUGAGAGAUAAGAGAAAGUUUUUCUGGUUGAAGUUUUGUGGAGGAUGAAGCAUGUGGCAUCCAACAGGUCAGAUGUGGCUCAGGACGUGUCUGAUGCUGCAGAGGCCUUUCUGGGGUUUUGUGACAUGUCCCCCGAGAAUGUUUUGGGGGGGUUGCGGGUUUGUGGGGGUCUCGGACUGCUGUGGGUCACAGGACGUGGAUGUUGGAGGUGUGGGGGAGAGGGGACGGGCGUGGGAAACGGUUUUGUUACCUGUUGACGCUACGUUUCGCCGACGGCUGCAGGCUUCUUCAGGCUGACGCUGAUGGUGGCGCGUCCCUUCCUUCUCCGUUUAUCUGCGGGCAGCAGAGGACAUUGUCGCCCUCUCCAAUGAUGCAGUCCCAUGCGUGGUCCAGCGUGUAACCAAAGAUUUACUGUUUUUGUUUUGGCUUGUGAAGCACUUUGGUCAGCUUUCAUGCUGUUGAAAAUGCUUUAUAAAUAAAGUUGACUUCACGUAACAGUCCCAGUCCAUAUUCGAUCUCCACAGGCGACCAGCACGACUACAGCCGUGUUCCCCGGUGCCCUUCCCCACUGUGCAAAGACCUAGUUUGGACGUCGUACAGACAUGGUCUGGACCGACGGACUCAAUAUAGACAUGAUCUAGACGUCCAUACGACGUUGACCAUUUGCAGGGUCUUAGCUUCUUGGGUUAGCCAAGUUAGCUAGUUAGUGAGUAAAACUUUAUUUAAAUAGCACUUAUCAUAGAAUCACAAAGUGCUCCACAGAGAUCAAAACAAAAUUAAACAUAAAGUCAUUUAAUCAUAAUGAUCUCAAAACAGAAACAGAUUAACAUCAGAAGAAAUCAAGUUAUAAAGUUAAAACAUUCAUAAACAAAUGAAAGGUUUGAGUUAAAAAUAAGAAAAUAAAAGAUUUUGGUAAAAGCAGCUUUAAAUAAAAGG
rnacentral:lncRNA from 1 species